GGUGAGUAAGGUAUAGUUAAUCUGCCAUACACAAGAGGAAAACAGUUGGAAACGAAUGCUAAUACUCUAAACUCCUGCUUAACACAAGUUGAGUAGGGAAAGUAUUUCGGUGUAGGAUGAGACUAUAUAGUAUCAGCUAGUUGGUAAGGUAAUGGCUUACCAAGGCUAUGACGCUUAUCUGGUCUGAGAGGAUGAUCAGUCACACUGGAACUGAGACACGUUCCAGACUCCUACGGGAGGCAGCAGUAGGGA
rnacentral:rRNA from 1 species